rnacentral:rRNA from 1 species
GACGAACGCCGGCGGCGUGCUUAACACAUGCAAGUCGAGCGGUAAGGCCCUUUCGGGGGUACGACGAGCGGCGAACGGGUGAGUAACACGUGGGUGACCUGCCCUCCAGCUCUGGGAUAAGCCUGGGAAACCGGGUCUAAUACUGGAUAUGACUCCAUGACGCAUGUUGUGGGGUGGAAAGCCUUGUGCGGCUGAGGAUGGGCCCGCGGCCUAUCAGCUUGUUGGUGGGGUGAUGGCCUACCAAGGCGACGACGGGUAGCCGGCCUGAGAGGGCGACCGGCCACACUGGGACUGAGACACGGCCCAGACUCCUACGGGAGGCAGCAGGUGGGGAAUCUUGCGCAAUGGGCGAAAGCCUGACGCAGCGACGCCGCGUGAGGGAUGACGGCCU